rnacentral:rRNA from 1 species
UAUGGUAUGUGCCAGCCGCCGCGGUAAUACGUAGGUGGCAAGCGUUGUCCGGAAUUAUUGGGCGUAAAGCGCGCGCAGGCGGCUUUCUAAGUCCAUCUUAAAAGUGCGGGGCUUAACCCCGUGAUGGGAUGGAAACUGGGAAGCUGGAGUAUCGGAGAGGAAAGUGGAAUUCCUAGUGUAGCGGUGAAAUGCGUAGAGAUUAGGAAGAACACCGGUGGCGAAGGCGACUUUCUGGACGACAACUGACGCUGAGGCGCGAAAGCGUGGGGAGCAAACAGG